GUGUGUAUCCGCGACAGAAAUGAUUCAGACAGGUACGAGCGCACCUGCUGAUAUUUAAUUUCACGUCAACAACGAUCAGCCAUUUUAUUAGCGAGGGAAUUGGCAUGGUCUGACAUGUGCUACAAAGUUAGGUGUAAGAAAUGUCAGCGAUUUACCUGGACAGGGUGUGGACGGCAUAUAGAGCUUGUUUUGGAGGAUAUUCCAGUGGAGGAGAGGUGUCAAUGUAAAAAAUCAGGGAAAUGUACGAUAUUAUAGUUUCAUCCUAUAUGGAUGUACAAUUACGUCAAGAGGAAACAGAAGAAUCUCAAUAAUUAUGCAAGUUUUACUGGAGAUCAUCAGAAAUGCAAGGAACACCCACAUUUUAUUGCAUAUUUUACAGUAUGUGCCAAAUUCUUCAUAAAUUAUACAUGUAUUAACAUAAUAUACAUUUCUUUAUUCAGUUUUAGCCCUUUUGAACAGUUGAAAGCAUAUUUGCAUAUUAUUCAGUUUAUUAUUAGAAAUAUAUAUUUAUUUUCCUGUGGUUGAAAUAUUUAGACAAUAUGUUAAUGUAUUUCUUUGUGUCCCAAAAUGUAAACCUAAAAGCUAAAAGGUUUUUUUUCAUCUCUUGCAUUGGAAGAAAUGUUCAGUCUUUUUGCCUUAAAAGAAUUUUUAUUAUUUACUUUAAAAUGGAUAAUGAAGGCAACUUUAUCCAAUACUAUCUAGAGCUAAAGAUCAAAAUAAUUUUUGAAUUAUUCAUGUGACAUUUUUUUUUUUAUAUAUAUAUUUUUGAUGCUUUACAGCUUUAUUAGACAUUUAUUGUGGUAAUGGAAAGACACCUACAAUGUAGCCUACAUUAAAUCUUAAAACUUCUUUCUGCAUAUUGUAAAAAUAUUACAUGGGUCUGGCCAAAUAAAUAGUACCAAGCAGGCAUAAGGUUUUAUUUUUUCCCAAGUGGCUAAAUGCAUUUAUUUGUCUUCAGUUGUUGAUAUUGUAACUUGAAGGUAGAAAAGUUUAAAAUUUAGAGCAAGUCAAUAUUGGUUUUACUGGGCAUUCAAUGUAUUAAAUACCCCCCACAGCAUUGUCCAAAGUGUUAUUUUUCAGCAUUAUUUAUCAAAUUUCACUUGGAGGUGAUGUCCUACUUUAAGACCUGUAUUCUUCUGAGGGUAAAAUCUUGGUUGAUGGCACUUUUAAAAUUUUUUCGAUUUACGACAGCCAGAGGCAAAAAAUUCUUAAUCAAAUGACAGGACAGGUACAGGUAUCUUCUAUCAAAAAGUAACCGUAUUUUCUCAAGGUCAUUCAAUUGUAGCGAAUAGAUAAAAAGAUGUUGACUAAAGAAUCACAUUACUUGUUUAAAGACACUUUUAAAGAGAAUUAUACAUCCAUUAGAAAUCAGAUAUAAUGCACUGAAAACUACCUCCAAGGUAACGUAUCGUUCUUCACAUCAGAAGAUAAUGGCUCUGAGGAAAUUUUAAAGAAUGGGUUAAGUUACAUUUCUUUCUCUAUAUUCUAAGAUGUCAAACUGAUACUUUUGGGUGUAAAGUAUUUCAAAUUUUAUCGAAAAGUUACAUGUACUAUUAAGUCAACUAAAGAUGGUAAUGUCAAAACAAAAAUAAUGGUGUCUUCAGACUUUUUAAGAGCAGUCAAAAUUCCUUUAUAACUACAUGUACAUAGUUCUUAAAAGAAUUUGUGAGAUUGCAAUAAUUGUAUAUCUACUGUAAAUGUAUUAAAUUUAGUGUGUAUGAUAUUUAGCAAAAAUUGUUUUUACAACAAGUUGGGGUAGAUUUGAUUUAGCACUUUCUGAACAUGUUAAAUAUUCAGAGACACAAUUGCUUGAUUUAGCAGAAGAUGCCUUCUGCAAAGGGUGCUAAAUAAAAUACACCACCAAAUGUAAUAUGUUUACAGUAUUUUCUAGAAAAAUCAUAUGUUUGCAAGAGUUUUAAUUCACUAGCAGACUGAGAAAUUGCUAUUUUUAUAUUUAAUGUUCACUGAGAAGAAGCAAAUAAAAGGUUGAUAUGGCACAAAGUAAAUUACACCCUCCCUCUACUUAAAAAAAAAAAAAAACAAAAAAAAAAAAACAAAACACGUCAUCUGUAUUUUAUGAACUGACUGUUGACAAAAAGUAAAUUUGGCCUAUAUAAUUAUUAAUUAUUUAAUGUCAUUGCUUUUGAAUUAGAUUUUCAUAAUUUUCUUAGUGUGGGUUUUUUUUGUUUUUUUUUGUUUUUUUGUAUUUAGGAGUGUAAUGCUCUAGUAGAAAACUUUAAAGUCCUGAAAUAUAAUGAAUAAAUUUGGUUAAAUUUGCUCUAUAGAAAUCAAAAUGAUCUCUGCAUACCCAUCUUGUAAGACUGUUGUUUUCCAUUUAUUUCUCUCAAUGUUUUCUGUUUUAAGUUAUAAAAAAUCUUUUUAUUUGUUAUACAUGUAUGUAAAUGUGCAUGGACAUACUUGUAUUUGCUUCAGAUAGUUUUGUCAGGUGCAUGGAGAAAAUUUGUAAAAUUAUAUAACCUAGCUUUAUAAGAAAUACUGAUAUAAAAUUCUGUAAUUUUUUGCUUAUGAUUAUUCAGAAGAAAUCUAAAUCAUAAAUAAAAUGCAAACAAUUUCAGGGUGCCUUGCAGGGCAAAAUUUGAUAAUUACCUUUUUACAUGACAAUUUUAUAAAGGAAUAUUUUGUACUUUGCUUAUAAGCAUUAUUUAGUACUUUACUUAACAAUCUUUAAUAUCAAGACAAAGAUCUAUCUUUCAUUCUGACAUUACGAAAUACUGGAAUGAUAUUUUGACAACAGUGUUUAUCCCAAUAGAGUUAUCUCUCUUAUCAGAGGGUCAGUGAACCUUAAAUGCUUACACUUUGGGUUUGUACUGUUAUAGUAAUGAUACAUGUAGUAAGAUGUUAAUUAAUUUUUCAUGAUUACUGCAAAAUUAAAGUAUCCCUUAUGUCAAAGGAUUAAUUAACUAAAUUGACCAAAUAAAUUUUGUCCUUGAGAAAAUCAAUCUAAUUAAAAUUAGAUCUUUGAUCUUCUUUACUUGGUAACUUGAAAACAGUUAUAUACACAUUAAAGCUUAAGAUCAGAUUGAAUCAAAGCAAAUUGUUCAAAAAUAUAUUUAGAUUUCCAGUUUAUUUAUGUUUCUUGAAUUAGUUAUUUUUAAAUUAUUAUUUUGAGUCAACUUUGGAAAUAAGAAAAUUGUAAAUUUAUCUUAACAAUUAAUGUACAAAGGGUCAUAAUGCUCACACAAAAAUCAACAACAUUCUCUUCCUUUAGCUUUAUUGCAUAGUGCAGGUUUUGAAACCUUAAAAAAAUAUUCUCAUUUUGUUUGUUACAUAUGUAAUUGUUCUUGUUUUUUGGUAAUUAUUUAUGUAUAUAUUAACUCUGUUGUCUUUUUAAACUCAUAGGCAAAACAGGGGCAUUUUAGUGCAAAUGUAGUUCAUUGUUUUUAGGGUUCAUGUGGGCUUUUAGUGCACUUUGUAUUGAUAAUUAAGUCAUUGCAAAACUGAAUAGCUAUUAAAAAAUUGUGUUCAACAAUAAAUAUAGUUUUUGUUACAAUGCUAGCUGCAUGGUUUAAUUAAAGUUUCACUGAAACAAAAAAUGUAAAAUUCUUAUAAAAUGUAAAAUAUGGUUUAAUUGGUUUUUUUGAUUGAUAUGUAUUAUUAUAUAUUGUUCAAAAAAGAAUUACUGAUUAUAUAGUUUUUAUAUUGAAUAUUUCAAAGGAUUAUGGACCUAUUGUUUUGUUUUUUUUUUAAUUUGGAAUGAAUCCACCACAUUUGAGCAUUUUAAAAAGCCAAGGGCUCUCUUAUUUAUGACAUUUAUAAAUAUAUUCAAGCAUAUAUAUUUCAUGUGAAUUUUUAUUUCUUUUCUGUCAAGACAUUUUUCUUGAAUAUAUUGUAUUAAUAUAUAUAAUGCAUAUUAUUUGCAAUGAGUGUAUCUUAAGUCAAAUGCAUGCUUUAUUUUUGAAAGAUUCUGUAUUUUUAUUACUACAGUUUGGUGCUAAAGUAUCAUAUAGCAUUUGCUUGAAUGCCGAGUCUUAAAAAUUUCUAUGCCUUAACAAGGACUUGCACAGUAUAGUGUAGUGUUCCUGCCCUUCAUUUCUUUACAUUUGUACUUUGCAUAUUGUUUGCAUGAAUUUUGUCAAUAAACUAGUCAUAUAAUAGUG